CAACAAAGGAAAAACGAUAUUAGACAAUUCUUUACAAGAACCACAUAUGUAAAUAUGUGUUUGUUAUUAAAAUCCUAUCUCCCGUUUGAGGGAGCGGAAGAGCACGGGCACAAGACCUCGGUUUCCACUUCCCGCCUGUGGAAGUUCCUGUGGCAGCCGCAGGCUGCGCAGAUGAGUUCACUGCUGGUUCCCUCUUGGCCGCUCGCCAUGAACUCCCUACACCCAUCAACAGCAUGCCCUCCAAUGCCUGCAGCGUGAUUCUUCUGGCACUCUCCAUACCUCACACUCCUCACUGUCAAAGAUGAAUUAGUUGAUCUUCUUGACGGCUCAUUUCUCCUCAGCACAACUUGCCGGUGCCUCAUUCUACAAAAUCCCAAUUCUUCUCUACCUUCUUCUUCUCCAAACCCUCCAAGAAAACAGCUGUAGUUCUUCAAUUAUUUCACAGGCCCAGAAUCAGAAGCUGGCAUAGAAGAGAAGGACAGAGAGAUCGAGGGAUAUGGGGGAAGUGGGAAACUCGUUCCGAGUUUGUUCUUGCAUACCCUAACCCUAGAAUGCGUAUUUAUAGCCUGUAACCCUCUUAUUAGGGAGUUAAUCUUUAUUGCAAAUAAGAAAAGCCCCAUUACUAACUUUUACUUUAUUCUUAUUCUUAUUGUAAUUUACCGAUGUCAUUUUCUGUAAUUUACUCUCCAAAAACCCUAGAGUGGUCGAUGUGAAUUGAUCGUCCAACUGCCCUACAUCUCAUUGUCACGAAUAAAAACGAUUCCCACGUAACCACGGCAAAACCAAAAAUGAUGAGAAAACCUUUCGCUUGGCCCAUUACAGUGACUAGAUUCUAACAGAAUGACCAGCUAAGCACCCUUUUUUAAUUUAAAGCUCCAUGCCCCUAAAUAGUAAUGCCAUGCUCUUACAUUUUUCUUUCUGUUUUUCUCUUUAUAAUAUAAAGUUGUCAGGGCGGAAAUUCCUUCGUUCAUGGAAAAUACCCAUAGUGAAGGGAUAUUGUAUUAUUAUUAUUAUUUUUGCAAUAAUCUCCACUACAAGGAAAAAGAUAUAUGGUGACAUUUAUAAUAAGUCACUAUAAACAUAGGGUGUCACUACAACAUAGCGUCACCUUAUCCACUGACACCAUAGAGGGUAUCAAUUGGUGACGUAUUUGGAAGCGACACCAAAGCAGAUAAAUGGUGACACAUUCAGAAGAGACACCAUAUAUUUUUAGUGAUGCUUAAUUUGAUAUAGAGUUGUAUGAGAUAUAUAAGGUGUCAUAUUAAAUGCAUCAUCUUUGAGUUAUGGUGUCACGUUAAAUGUAUCACCUUUAAUUUAUGGUGUCACAUCAUUGUAAAUGAUUAUGGAAGAUAUGGUUGUUUUUUGUUGAUUAGUUUGUAGAUUUUUGUAAUGCUUAUUAAUAAAUAAGACUAACAUGUGUAAAUUGUCCAUAAAUAUAAUAAUCAUAUUACAUUUAACUUAUAUUUUCAUAAUGCUUAUGAAUUAAUUUGUAACAUAUUACAUCAUCCAAUAAUAUUUGUAUAUCAAAUGUUCACAAAAUGAUAGUACAUCAAACACAUCAAACCCACCAAAACUAAAAAAGAAAAGUAAAUACACAUUAAAACAUGAUUUAGAAAUGUUAAGCUUCCCAACAUUCAUGUAUAUAUACUUGCAUUUCAUAUGCAUAAAACCGGUUAACCAUAAAAUGACACAAGAGUUGCAUCCAAAAACCCAAAAUUCUCAAUUCCAAAUAAAGUAACAUUUAUGUCCUAUAAUGUAUGACAUAAGAGUCAUAUCUAAAAACCUAAAUCUUGUUGCCUCUUUCUCCUUUCUUUUUAUUCUUCAUAUUGUCCUCCCAAGAGUGUAUACCUGUAUUUCAUAGUUUAAUGAGUUUUAGAGUUCUUAUUGAAAAUAAAAAUGUGAUGUUAUAAACAAUAAACAAAUCUAAGUACUAAUGUUUUCUUUUUCUUUUUCCUUUUUCUCAUUUUGGUAUAAAAAUAGUUCAUAAAGAAUAAGUAAUGUUAUACAAUAUCAAUGGAAAAUUCAAUCAUAUAACAACUAAGGGACUUACCAUGAAUGAUCACGAUACAUCAAUAUGAUUCAUGAUUAGUUAUAACACAAAAUUAAUCUAUUUUUCUCUAAUUUCAUCAAAUUCUACUUGAGAAUAUGUUUUAUUUGUCAUCAAACUGAAAUCAAAUGAGAAUAACAUUAAUAUCACAAUAAUUGAAAGUAUAAAAUUAUGUACAAUUCAUUAAACGAGUAAAACCUUUGAUGCAAUAACUGUAAAAUCAACAAUUAUUUCUUUAAUGAAUCUCAUAACAAAGUAGUCAUAUUUGAACUCAGUAUUAUUUUUUUACUAUUAAAUUAUUUUUAAACAAAAUAACAAUUAUUAAUAUAUUGGUUCAUUUUUAAAUACUUUCAUAAGAAUAUAUUUUAACUACAAGUUAUUUUAAUUUAUCAAAAGAUUUUUAGGAAAUGAGCUAUUAUCCAUUUAUUAUUUUCUUAUUUUUCAAAAAAUAUUUUCAGUCAUUUUAUACAUGUUUUCAACUACUAAAAUUAUUGUUUUUGUAGAAUAAACAAAGAAGCAUACACUUCUCCUCCACUCACUAAGUCAACUAUUACAAUCACCAUAAUAUUUUAUUCACUUACCAAUAUCUCAUUCCAUUUAGAUAACUCUCUCAACAAAAUCAUUUCUACAAUACUUUUUACUCUCCUAUGAUAUUGAAUAUUUUAUUCCAUUUAGGUGACUCUCAACACAAAGAAAAGUAGGAAUGUCUUCUUAGGUUAACUAAACAAAAACUUUUUUUUUUACUUUACAAUAUGUAUGAAAAAAACAAUUAUUUAUUACAAGGAAUGUGGUACAAAGGUCAUUUCAUUUUUAAAGAAUUUUUUAGAAUUUCUUAAACAUUUACAAAAAAUAGAAUCUAACAAUUUUAUUUCUAAAAAAAUUGAUCAAUUCAAAAAAGAAAGAAGAAUGUUAUUUUUUAAGAAAAGUUAAUAAACCAUUUUAUUCUUGAAUUAUCUAAACAAAACUUACUAAAAAAUAUUUUAUCCCAAAUUUAUUUUCAAAACUUUCUUAUUGAAAACUAUCUCAUAUAUAAAUUAUUUUAUUAUAUAGAGAAAUUCUUAUUUUAUUCUUUUUUUAGAGAAAAAUUCACUUGUUUAUUAAAUAUCAAAGAAGUCUAUUUUUAUGUCUAUUACAUAUAUAUAUAUAUAUAUAUAUAUAUAUAUAUAUAUAUAUAUAUAUAUAUAUAUAUAUAUAAAUUCUCUUAUUUUCAUACAAGAAAUUUCCAUUUAUGCCUAAAAUACUUUUAGAAAAAUCAUUGCCAACAAAAUUUUAUUUUUAAAAUUAUUUUCAACAUUCUUAUUUAAAAAAAUUAUCAUUGGAUUAUUUUCAAAAAGGACAGUCCUAAAAAAAUUAACCAUUUAUAACCCAAUUUAAACUCAAAACUUAUCCCCAAUAUUAUUUUAUAUUCCUAAAUUAUUUUCAAACAAAAUAACAAUUAUUAAUAUUUUGAUUCAUUUUUAAAUACUUUCACAAAAAUAUAUUUUAACCACAUAUUAUUUUAAUUUAUCAAAAUAUUUUUAGGAAAUGAGUUAUUUUCCAUUUAUUACUAUCCUAUUUUUCAAAACAUAUUUUCAAGCAUUUCAUUCACAUUUUAAAAUUUCAAAUACUAAAAUUAUUGUUUUUAUAAAACAACAAAGCAUGUAAAUUUCAACUACUAAAAUUAUUGUUUUUAUAGAAUAAACAAAGCAACAUACACUUAUCUUCCAUUUACUAAUUCAACUAUUACAAUCACCCCAAUAUUUUGUUCACCUACCAAUAAUUCAUUCCAUGUAGGUGACUCUAAAAAAAAAAGUCAUAUUUAUAAUACCCUUUACGACUCUAAUACCCAAUAUUCUAUUCUAUUUAGGUGACUCAAUACAAAGAAAGUGGGAAUGUUUUCUUAGGUUAACCGAAGAAAACCCUAAAUAGCUUAAGUGCUUUUGGAUUAAUUGAGUAUCAUCUUGUAGUAGAUGUCAAUCUCUAUUGUUAGACUUCACCAAAAAGCUCCUAGCACGGUGGAAAAAAGUAUCAAAUAUAGUCAAGUCUUCAAUAAAAUACUAUUUCAUGCGAAAAAUUACUACAAACUAGUGUAUCUCUCAUUCUCAAUUAGACAAAAUUUUUAAAAAUAAUUCAUUUUUCUUGUUUUCAUUUGUUUUAGGGCUUAUUAGCAAUGAAACAAAAAAUAUGUUAGAAUGUUAAACCUAGUUUUCACUUCCCUGGAACUCGAUAAAAAACACCAUUUACAAAACCCACAUCAUAGAUAUACUAAAUCAAGAGAUAUAAAACAAUUAUACUAACAAAGUUUUUUGCAUUAAUAAAAAAAAUGAAGAUGGUAGAUAAGAGAUUUUGACUUACCCGAGAUUUUACGAAGCAAAGAAUAUCAAUUAUGGGUGUGCCGACCAUGGGUGUGAGAAGAAGGAGAAGAAAACGAUGGUUAGGGUUAAGCAAUAAGAUCUUUUAUAUUAGUUAAUGUAUAUAUGGAAACAAUGGACUUUUCAUAAAUUGUUCCUACUCACUAUUUUUAAAAAGGGCCCAUUAAGUUAUAAAAUUUAAAACUUUUUAUUUCAUAUGGUGUCACUUCCAAAAAAUGACACCGUAAAUCUGAAAUUAGCAUCAUCUAACUAUCCUAAUUGAAGAUUUUUUAUAUGAUGUGUCACCUUUAUAAAUUUUAAGUUCAAUGGUGUCAUUAUUUUAAAUGCGACACCAUAAAUAGUGACAUCAUAUAUUAUUUUUGUAGUAGUGCUCGACCAUGAAAUGGUUAAAAUUAACUUUCAAUAAUCCUAUAAUUCUUUCUUUAUUUUAAAAUAAAUGAUAGGUGAUCAAUUGUAUUGUUUGGUAUUGUACGGAGUGCUUUUGUGUAAUUUUUUUCUUAAAAGAAUUUUCUUAGUCUAAAUCAGACUCUAAAAGGAAGUUGUGGCAAGAGAUGAAAGCUGAAACUAGGAUUUGAAAGCUAGGAUUGCUAAACCUGUGCCUCUACCUUUUAAGAGAAUCCGACCUCAUGGAACAAAAAAUGUUGCAUGUAUAUGUUGGACUUCGGGUCAUGUUUAACCCAAUUGGAGCGCCAAUAGUGGGUUAAGCCCCAAGUUGAUUGAUAAAUAUUACAUUGAGAUUCUGGUCUUAUCUAAUAAUUUAAGAUAAAAAAGCACAUAUCCUAAUCGACUCGAGUUAAGGAGAUUUUAGGAGAGUCCUUAAAUAAGGGCCUCGACUAAAAAUCACAUAUCUCUUUUUUCAAUACGAAUGUGAAAAAGUCUCUCCUCUCUUUACAUUUCUCUCAUACUCUCUGGAAAGACAAAUUCUCAUAACAUUUUUGAGUUGUGGAUAUUUUUGGUUAUUCGAGUAAUAUUUGAUAGAUGAUGUUAGAGAACAUUAGUUCAAUUGUGCGUUACAAUUGUUGCAUCUAUUGAUUAGUUAGGAUGUAGCUUAGUUAGUUCUUCUUUUGUUACAACAAAUUUCUCAAAUAGUUAUAGACUACUUACUACUUAAAAAUCAUGUGUGUAUGUGGAAUGAAGACAAAUGAUAAAUCUAGAAGGGAUUGAUAAUCCUCUUCUUCCCAUUCUAUUAUAUUUUCUUUCAUUCCAACAUGGUAUUAGAGUAGUACACAUCCACUAUAGGAGACACCUCAAGAACCAACAGAUUUAGCCCUAUCUCCUUCCCCCACCUAAUCUCAUCCAAACUAGACAACAACCUUUUGGUUUGGAGAAAACAAAUACUAACCACAUUAAAAGGACACAAGCUGCAACACUUUCCCUUCGAGUCCUCAUGCUUACCAUUAAGAUUUCUAUCAAUCUGAGGAUGAUGAAGCCCACUAUCACAUAAACCUUGAGUUUCAAAACUAGGAAACAAUAAGAUUAGCUCAUCAUGUCAUGGAUACUUGCAUCCACACGUGUUUAGUGAGUUGUGACACUUCAACCUAGGUAUGAAAGAUUAUUAAUUUAUAUUUUGCUACUCAAGUAUGUUGAGGCAUUGCGUCCCUGGCGAUCCACGUAGUUGCCAAAUGGAUGGACGCACUAUCUCAACCAAUAUAGAUUCCUGGUUCAAUCGUUCCUGCAAAAGGCGUCCGGACAAGGUGUCCGGACACACCUUCCGAUGGUUUUGUCAGCCAUGGUUAGAGAGAAUAAUCAGUUGGUCUUUUACUAGGUAUAACAAGCUUACCUUCCUUUUUGUGUGAAGGUCUAUAUAUAUAGUGUUUAGGAGCUUUGUUUAUCUCUUUAAUGGUAGGGAGAUAUUUUGGUUUGUCAUGAUGCCUCUAAGUGGUGGCAGAGCCAUCAUCACCCUACGGGCGGCUGACAGAGAUCGUGGGAGGCACCGCGGUUGUCAGAGAUCAUUGGAGGUGACUUGCCAUCAUUUCAUUCCUGUCCUUUCACUCUAUAGGUGGCGGAACGUGGGCCGUGGCAGGCUGUUGGAAUGACGUGCAAGACCUGCUUACUUCAGUCAAUGAUCCGGACAAAACAUAUCUAGAUAGGAUAUGUCGGUCGUCCGGAUGUGAUAUGGCGGUCGUCCGGAUGUGAUGUUUUGCGAGUGUCGUGUGCUUCUUCCUGAGGGUGUCCGGAUAGGGAAAGCGCGCCACGUGUCCUCUUAGGGAAAUCCGGAUGGGGAUAAUCCGCAUAGAAAUGUGUGCCACGUGCCACCAGGAAAUGUGUACCACGUGUCAUUAGGGGGAGGGGUCCCUACAAAGUACAUGCCGUAGUAAUUCAAUUCAAGACUCAAUCGCAAACACAAAGAAAUGAGAUCUACUUGUAAAUGAGCUCCAUAAACUAUGCUAUCAUGGUAUAUGAGCUCAAAAUGAGGACCACUAGGACCCAUAGGAGUAUUAACUACUUUAGAAUUCAAUUUUGAAGUUGAUUUAGGAUUCUAUUAAAGAGAAUUAACUACACUCUAAUAUCUUAUGUAAAUAACAAAAAGACAAAGUUUGAGUUGGUGACCUACUAUCCAUUGCAUGCAGAUUUCCUAUGAAUUGAUGCCCAUAAUCUAAUAAGACAAUGUUAUCGCCUAUCAAGAUUACCUCUCCAAUUCAUGAGUUACAAAUCCCACUUAUUAUGUGAUCAAUUGACAUAUUCCAACUCCAAGGAGCAUAUGUCAAAAUUCUACCAAAGAAAAUGUUAUGACCAUAGUUUUUUAAAUCACAUGUUUUUUUGGAUCACCCAAUGGGACACAUUGUCUCAAUCCAUGAGAUAUCAUGGUGUUUUUAUUGAGAAUACUAAUUGUUAUUAGCCUCCGUCAAUAGUGACCUAAUCCAUAGGGAUAUAUGACCACUUUAGGGUCUUACUUACAAGUUAAAACCUCCUAUUGACUUUGACACAGACUCAAUAUUCUUUUCAAGUUGAGAGUCCAUGUGGUAUAGUAACUUGAUGAAUCAUAAUAAUUGAUAGUCUUACGUCAUGAUUCAUUGUAGGUCAUGUCUAGUGUGUAUUACAUAUAUUAGUGCACUCACUAUGGGAAAACUAGCUUAAUAGCCAAAAUAAGUCAUUCUUCUAAUUAAGAGGUAGUGUACUACAAUCUCAGAUGGAUUGCUCAAAUCCAUGAACCAACUAUGACCAACUCAUCACUCUAUACGGAACCUAUGACUUGGAUUCUCUAUGCAAUUCCUAAUGCACUUAAGUCAUAUACAAUGUAAGUGAUGUGAGACAUGUAUGCUCAAAUAACCAAUUAAUGCAAAUGAGAUAAUAAAAAGAAACCAAACAACAUAAAUAAAUAAAUUUAUAAAUGAAUUUUUAUCUAUUACAUCAUGUCAUGUUUUCUAGGGUUCAAUCCUAGCAUUACCAUAUCUACCAUACCACAUUCGAUCAUUGAAGUAUUUAGUCUUAGUCAUUGGAAAUAAGCCAUGCCUGAUGAAUAUUUAGCACUUUUAUGCAACAAUAAUUGAAACCUUGUUCCACUUCCUCCUAAUCACAAACCCAUUGGCUGCAAAUGGGUUGUCAAAAUUAAAGAAAAUCUUGAUGGCACCAUUAAAAAAUACAAAGCCCAACUAGUUGCCAAAGGAUUUCAUCAAAUUGCUGACUUUGAUUUCAAUGAGACAUUUAGUCCAGUUGUAAAACCAACUACCAUCCAAAUUGUUCUUGCCAUUACUUGAGGUAUGUAUCAAAAAGUUCGCCAACUUCAUGUUAAUAAUGUUUUUCUCAAUGGUGACCUUUAAGAAGAAGUUUACAUGUGUCAACCAAUUGGUUUUGUUGAUCCUAAUGCUCCUGACUUUGUGUGCAAACUCACAAAGUUCCUUUAUGGUCUUAAACAAGCUCCUAGGGCUUGGUUUGAGAAGCUUUGCCAAGCUCUUAUUCAUCUUGGUUUUACAUCAACAAAAUUUGAUACAUAUUUGUUUAUUAAUAUUACUUUACAAGAGUACUUUACCUACAUCCUUAUAUAUGUGGAUGACUUUUUACUAACUAAUAACAAUGAGACAUUCCUUUAACAAGUGAUCACUCAAUUCAACCACACUUUUAUCUCAAGGAUCUUGGGGAAGUUAAUUACUUUCUGAGCAUCCAAGCCAAAGCCUCUCUUGUUGGGUUACAUCUAUUUCAAACUAAGUAUGUCUUAAACAUCUACAAAGAACCAAUAUGCUUCAUGCCAAACUGGUUCCCAUACUAUUGGUCCCUAAUUAGCAUUUGUCCGCAUCUAGUACUAAUCAUUUUUUCAACCCUCAGCUCUAUUGAAUCACUAUUGGUGCUCUUCAAUAUGUCACUAUUACUUGCCCAGAGACACAAAUAGUGUUAAUUGUGUAUGUUAAUUUAUGAAAGUUCCUCUCAUUGCUCAUUGGAAAGCUAGAAAACAAAUACUUCACUACUUAGUUGGAACUUUUUACCAUAGACUACAUCUCCAACGAAGCUUCACCUUAUACCUUAAAUUACAUGCUUUGGUGAUGUUUGAUUACUACUCAAAAAGUGCUAUUUGAUAGCCUUUAAUUAAUCCUUUUUAACACUUUUGAGUAGUAGUUUAGGCCUUUUAACUCAAUUGACAUGUUAAGGAUCCUUUAAAGCAAUUUUGAUCACUUUGUGCAAGUUUUGGUGUUUUUGUUAGUAUUGUGAUCACCAAAGCAAGUCAAGAAUGAGGAGAGAUAUGAGGAAUCUUGGGCAAAUCUUAGAAUUCAAUUGCCAAGAGUGAAUCCGGAUUGCAAGGAGAAAAAGCAAAGAGAAUCUGUCAUGGAGCAUAUUCUUGAUGACAGUCGUAGCAGCCACUUUUGGGGCACUUCCUGAAGUCCAAAUGAUGCAAGCUAUAUACCAUUUCAAAGCUCAGGAAGUCAAAAAUCCAAUGCUUCAAACGGUGCGCGAUUUGGAGUUGAAACGAAGAAGUUGCAGCCAUUACAAGCCAGUCACUCUGAAGUGUUGCGGAAUCAGCCUUUUGUUGCGAGAAUUUCGCAACACUUUUGUACAGUAAGGUGUUUCUCCUUCUGACGAUGCACGAACCAUGCCGCGAGAAGGGAGCUGGAAACUUCAAGGUGGAAGCCAACUUCGCAGCCCUAUGAAGACAGCUUGGUCUUGCGAAAUAAUUUCGCAGCCCUCUUGGGUGUCUGCGAAAUUUCGCAGGCACCACUUUUCUCCUGCGAAAUGGCUCCUGAAGCCUCCCGAAGCUUGCUACCGACAUUGGGAGAUAUUUUCCAUUAGAUUUUUGUUGUCUAAAUCCCAAAAUACUCCUUGUAAACCACCAAUUACAUGAUUCCUUAGUUUUUAAGUUAGUAAAAAGACCAAAUAUCUAUGUAACAAUUAGUUUUAUAUUGGUUUGAUAUAAAUACCUCUCGGGAGCCUGUUCUCGGGGAGGAGUUCUUUCGGUAACCAUUUGGUAAGCAAGUAAAGUCUUUUCUUUCUACUGCCUUACAUUCUCACUUUGUAUUUUCAUUUUAUUUCUAAGUUAUGAAUUCUCUGAGGAGUUUUCCCCAGAGAAUGAGUAACUAAACCUCCAAUUCCUUGGAGCUAAGGUUGCCGGGGAAGGUUCCAAGUGCAAGAAUGCAAAGCUCUGUGGUUUUAGCUAGUAAUGAAGAGGAAGUGAAAUCCUUUAGUGAUUUCAAUGUUUUUAGUUAACUUAAAACACCUUGGAGUCACCUAGGCCAACACUUGGUAAGGCAAGUGAUUUCCAACCGUGGAAAUGCACUAGUUUACCCCUUGCGAGCCUCUGGUAGGUGACUUCAAGGUAGGAUUUUCUGGAAUUACCAACACUUGGUAAGCUUUUGGACUCUUAGGAGGCAUCCAUUAGUUAUCUCUUGCGAGUUUGUGAAGGGAAGUCCAAGGUUAAAGAUCACCUUGAAUGGUAAGUGCUCGUGAGAGGCAUGAACCAUUGCAAGUUGCAUCAGUGAGAGAAUUAAAGUGAAAUCUAAUUGAAGGAGUCUCUGUACAUCACCGGUUAGAGACUUGACUCUAAGUUGAAUCUCUAAUGCGAGGAAAUGAACCAUCUGACCGGAGCUAUGUCUUUUGCAUGAGGAACCACCCCAGUGAACCUAAAUCUCCAAGGAAUGCUUUUCUUCCUAAAUUAUUCCAAACUUCUGUUAAGUUAGUUAGUUUAAAUCUCAACCUUUACCAAUCAAAGUUUGUAUUUUAUUUCUUAAACUAACCGUGAAAUGAAACAAAACCAAUUCACUUGGAAUUGGUAUCCUUGAUUGCUUGCAAAUCAUUCCCAGUGAACGAUCCUUAGAGCCACUAUACUAUAGUAGCUUUGUAUUUGCUACCCUAGUGUAUGGUGUUAUAGGUAUAAAUUUUGUUGAUCACUUCCUCAAUCAAGGAGCACCAGCUGAACACAAAUCAGCUGAGACACCAAUUGGGCAUGAGUCAAAUGGCGCCGUUGCCGGGGAAUGAGUGUCAAGUUCAUUGUGAUACCAUUUUUGAGCACUUGUGAUUUUCAUCACAAGUUGGUAAAGUUUCUUUCACUUUACUAAUUUUCAUUCUCUCUUUGUUUAUUUACAAUCUAAGUUUAUCUUUUUAAAAUUUAGUCUAGUUUAAUUUUGUUGUUGUAGCCCUGUUUUUCUUGUUGUCCUCUGUUUUUAUUUAAGUUGUAGCUGAAUACUAGUUGUGUAUGCCCAAGUGGAUACGAGACAGUGGAGGAAGGCUUGUUAAGUGUGAUACACCUCAGAAAGGAGAAUUUGAAGUAAUCUUGAAUAUCAUGGAGGCUGCACCUGAAGAUCAGCAUAGUCACCAAGGUCGUCAAGACAAUCUCAAUGAAUUCAGAUCAAUGAGGGACCGUAUGCAUCCACCUCGUAUGAGUGCACCAUCAUGUAUAGUGCCCCCUACAGAGCAGCUAGUGAUCAGACCAUAUCUUGUUCCACUUCUACCAACUUUCCAUGGGAUGGAAAGUGAGAAUCCGUAUGCACACAUCAAGGAAUUUGAAGAUGUUUGUAAUACAUUCCAAGAGGGAGGAGCUUCAAUUGACUUGAUGAGGCUUAAGUUAUUUCCUUUUACUUUAAAGGAUAAGGCCAAAAUUUGGCUUAAUUCUUUAAGGCCUAGGAGUAUCCGCUCUUGGACUGAUUUACAAGCUGAGUUCCUCAAGAAAUUUUUUCCUACUCAUAGAACAAAUGGCUUGAAAAGGCAAAUUUCAAACUUCUCAGCUAAAGAGAAUGAGAAAUUCUAUGAGUGUUGGGAAAGAUACAUGGAAGCUAUAAAUGCUUGUCCUCACCAUGGCUUUGAUACUUGGCUACUGGUGAGUUAUUUUUAUGAUGGUAUGUCCUCCUCAAUGAAGCAACUCCUCGAGACAAUGUGUGGAGGAGAUUUCAUGAGCAAAAAUCCAGAGGAAGCUAUGGAUUUCUUGAGCUAUGUAGCUGAUGUUUCAAGGGGAUGGGAUGAACCAACUAAAGGAGAAGUGGGAAAGAUGAAGUCUCAGUUGAAUGCUUAUAAUGCAAAAGCUGGGAUGUAUAAUUUGAAAGAAGAUGAUGACAUGAAAGCAAAGUUGGCAGCUAUGACAAGAAGAUUGGAGGAGCUGGAGCUGAAAAGAAUGCAUGAAGUGCAAGCUGUUGCUGAAGCACCAGUGCAAGUGAAGCUGUGUCCCAAUUGUCAAUCAUUUGAACAUUUGGUGGAGGAGUGCCCUGCAAUUUCAGCUGAAAGGGAAAUGUAUAGAGAUCAAGCAAAUGUUGUUGGACAAUUCAGGCCCAAUAACAAUGCUCUUUAUGGAAAUACCUACAAUUCAAGUUGGAGGAAUCAUCCAAAUUUCUCAUGGAAGGCCAGAGCAACUCAAUACCAACAGCCGGAUCCACCAUCUCAGCAAUCUUCAAGUAUUGAACAAAUAAUAGCUAAUCUCAGCAAGGUAGUGGGAGAUUUUGUGGGAAAGCAAGAAGCCACCAAUGCUCGAGUGGAUCAAAGAAUGGACAGAGUGGAUCAAAGAAUGGACAGAAUGGAGAGUAUGUUGAACAAAAGAAUGGAUGGAAUGCAAAAUGAUAUGAAUCAAAAAUUUGAUAACAUCCAAUAUUCAAUCUCCAGGCUUACAAAUUUGAAUACACUGCAAGAAAAGGGAAGAUUUCCUUCUCAACCUAACCAAAAUCCCAAAGGUGUCCAUGAAGUGGAAAGCCUUGAGGGAGAAUCAUCACAGGUGAAAGAUGUGAAGGCUUUGAUCACUCUAAGGAGUGGUAAGAAAAUUGAGCAGCCAACACCUAAGCCACAUGUUGAGAAAGAAGAAGAGAUAAAGAAAUGGAAGGAAAUGGAAGAUAAAGAGAGUGAGAUCAGUGAAGAAAAGAAGGAAUCUGAUUCAACAAUCAAAGCAAUUCCAGAGAAAGAGCUUCUGAAGGAAGAAAUGCUGAAGAAAUCAACUUCUCCACCUUUUCCUCAAGCAUUACAUGGGAAAAAGGGGGUUAGAAAUGCAGCUGAAAUCCUAGAAGUAUUGAGGCAAGUGAAAGUUAAUAUUCCACUGCUGGAUAUGAUCAAACAAGUUCCAACGUAUGCAAAAUUCCUAAAGGACUUGUGUACUAUCAAAAGAGGGUUGACUGUAAACAAGAAAGCCUUCUUGACUGAGCAAGUAAGUGCAAUCUUACAGUGUAAGUCUCCUUUGAAGUACAAAGACCCUGGAAGUCCUACCAUUUCAGUCAUGAUUGGAGGAAAGGUAGUGGAGAAAGCCUUGCUAGACUUGGGAGCAAGUGUGAAUUUGCUUCCAUACUCUGUCUACAAGCAACUAGGACUUGGAGAGUUGAAGCCAACAGCAAUCACUUUAUCUUUGGCAGAUAGAUCAGUGAAAAUUCCAAGAGGAGUAAUUGAGGAUGUAUUGGUUCAAGUAGAUAAUUUCUACUAUCCUGUAGAUUUUGUUGUUCUUGAUACUGAUCCAACUGUAAAGGAAGCUAAUUUAGUUCCUAUCAUCCUUGGAAGGCCAUUUCUUGCAACUUCAAAUGCAAUCAUCAACUGUAGAAAUGGGCUUAUGCAACUCACUUUUGGUAAUAUGACCCUGGAUCUCAAUAUUUUCUAUAUGUCUAAAAAGCAAAUCACUCCAGAAGAAGAAGAAGGACCAGAAGAGUUAUGUAUAAUUGAUACUUUGGUGGAGGAGCACUGCAAUCAGCAUAUGCAAGACAAGUUGAGUGAAAGUCUUGUGGAUAUUGAGGAAGGUUUUUCUGAAUCUCCUAUUGGGCUUGCUACUCUACAAAGUUGGAGAAAGAUAGAAGGAAUUCUACCUCUGUUCAAUGAAGAAGAUGAGGCAGCUGUUGAAAAAGAAAUUCCAAAACUCAAUCUGAAGCCUUUACCUGUGGAGCUGAAAUAUACAUAUCUUGAAGAAAAUAAUCAAUGUCCUGUCGUAAUCUCUUCAUCUCAAACCAAGUCUCAAGUGAAGGAUGCAAGCUUCAAAUGGGAUCCGGGCAAACUGAAUCAGGAAGGGCAAAAAGUUCUGAUGUAUGACACAAGACUCCAUAUCUUUCCUGGGAAGCUCAAGUCAAGGUGGAUUGGUCCAUUUGUUAUUCACCGAGUAUAUUCCAAUGGAGUGGUGGACUUAUUGAAUUCCAAUGGCAAGGACAGCUUUAGAGUCAAUGGAUAUCGUCUUAAGCCGUUCAUGGAGUCAUUCAAAUCAGAAAAGGAGGCAAUCAACCUCCUUGAACCUCAAAAAGCUUAAGUGAAAAGGGUUUGCUGGGCGUGGUUUUACCACAGUCCAAAAUUUUUGUAAAUUUUGUAAAUUUUCAAGUUGUUUCCAUACUUUUGAUCUUAGUUUUUGAUUUUAAAUCAUGUUUUUAGGUGUGUUUUAAUCGUUUUAUAUGAUCCCAGGCGGAAGAAAUUUCAAGGGGAUUGAAAAGAAAAAAAUCGGGUCGAAAUUGGAGCCGAAACAGAGCAAAAACAGGGGAAAAACAGAGCUCUGCGAAAUUUCGCAGGGUGAAGGAAACUUCUGCGAAAUUGGCAUUUUGCUGCCAACCCAUUCCGCAGCACUAUAGAAGCCUCUGCGAGUGUGUUUCGCAAUUGCGAAAGUGGAUUUGGCACACGAGUGCCACUUCGCAGCACAGUGACAUCAAUUUCGCAGCUGCGAAACGCGUUGCGAAAUGAAAAAGCGUGAUUUCGCACCAAAAGUCCUAUUCCGCAGAGUAUUUCGCAAUUGCGAAAGUGGUUUUGGCACACGAGUGCCACUUCGCAGCACAGUGACAUCAAUUUCGCAGCUGCGAAACUCACUGCGAAGUUGCUGCGAAAAUGGCAAGUUGCUGCGAAAUUGGCGUUUUGUUGCGGAACUUAAACUGACCCCUGGGCUUCCGUUUUUCCUAUUUAUACCGGUCAAAAAUGCUGCGAAAAGGGUUUCAAAAAUCAGAGAGCCAUUCUCGCAGCCCCUUCAUCUUCUUCGCCAAGCCACGCCGUCCGAACCUCCGGUCGUCUUCUCCGCUUAGCAACGCCGGCCAAAGAUCGAUAUCUCCAAAAUGGCACGAACGCGAGGAGCAAAAUCUUCAUCUCCUUCGAACCGCAAAAGGAGUCUGCGAAAGGAGCCAAGUCCAGGCUCUGUUCCAGAACCUGCUCCCCAGCCUUCGCCGUCGAGACCACAACCUUCUCCAGUGAAGCCGGCGCCACCAAAGCCGCCGGCAAGACGAUAUUUGACAAGAUCAGGCGGUCAGCCAUUGAAGAAGAAGCCCAGGGUUGAGAGCUCUGAACCAAUUGAUUUGACUGAGCAAUCCCCUGAGCAGUCCCCAAAUCCUUCACCGGUUCAAACUCCAGUGCCGUCACCGGUUCCCUCGCCAAUUCCCUCACCUGAAGCAACUCCAAUUUCAUCGCCGGUACCAUCUCCGGCACCCCAAGAAAAAGCUCAGGAGCCUCCAGCGCCAAUUCCAGAGCCCCAAAUUGCAGCUGAAGCACCUCUGGAAGAAGUGAUCCGAAGGCCAUUGCUCCCCCAGCCCCCAAUCGAAGGAAACUUGGAUUGUCGAACACGGGCAUUCCAUUCUGAAUUGAGCUUCGACUUAGCAGCAUUCAGAGUGAGGCCAGAGCUUGCCCAAUCCUUCCAGCUGCUGAGGAGAUAUCAUAUGGAGCAUCUGCUAGCUCCAAGGGAUUUUUUCUAUCCCCGGGUAGUCACGGACUUCUACCAGACCAUGACAACCAAAGAAGUAAGAAAUCCAACUCUGAUCCAUUUCAUAAUUGAUGGAAGGCAUGGUAUUUUGGGAGCAAGACACAUUGCUGAAGCUCUGCAAAUUCCUUUUGAGCCAACCCAAUUCGACAAUUUUAAAGCUUGGACAAAUCCAACUGAGUUAGAGAUGGUUCGCACACUAACCAGGGGAGCUGCAAAUCGGUCACACCUGUUGAGGGGGGAGCUACCUCCAGUGAUGUUUUUGAUUGAUGCCUUUUUGAGGCAUAAUAUCUAUCCCCUGCAGCAUUGGACCCAAAGAAGGGGAGUUCUCUUGGAAGCUCUAUACAAGAUGUCUGAAGGAUUCUUCUUUGGGCCUCAUCAUCUGAUCAUGGCAGCCCUUCUAUACUUUGAGGAAAAGGUUCACAAGAAGAAGCUUCAAAGAGCAGAUUGCAUUCCACUCCUCUUCCCACGGCUGCUAUGCCAAGUUUUGGAGCAUCUCGGAUACCCCUCUGAGCCUCAGUAGGAAAGAAAGAAAAUAUGCCGUGAGCCAUUUACCCUUGAUAAAUGGAAUAAUAUGACGGCCUACAAAAUUGAUCAGCCUGGGCAGCCUCAGCCAGCAGCAAGGAGAGCCUCCCCAAGACAUCCACCUGAAGGUAUUACACUUGCUACUCCUGCCAUCCCUCGAGCUUCACCAGCUGCACCUGCUCCAUCACAGCCAUCCACAUCAGCUGAGCCGAGGAUGGCCAUCCCUAUAUCCGAAUAUCGAGAGCUGUGCCGUGCAUUGGAGACUCUUACAGCUUCCCAGAGCAAUNNNNNNNNNNNNNNNNNNNNNNNNNNNNNNNNNNNNNNNNNNNNNNNNNNNNNNNNNNNNNNNNNNNNNNNNNNNNNNNNNNNNNNNNNNNNNNNNNNNNACCUAAAGGUAUUACACUUGCUACUCCUGCCAUCCCUCGAGCUUCACCAGCUGCACCUGCUCCAUCACAGCCAUCCACAUCAGCUGAGCCGAGGAUGGCCAUCCCUAUAUCCGAAUAUCGAGAGCUGUGCCGUGCAUUGGAGACUCUUACAGCUUCCCAGAGCAAUCUUGCUCAGGAGUUGGCAGCCAUCAAAGCAUGCCAGGAGCAGAUGUUAGCCUCUCAGGCUCAACAAGCUGCCAUCCUAAGGCAGCUUCAAGUCCAUUUCGAUCUGCCACAAGCUGUAGAGCCUUCCACUGAGACUCCACCAGAGCCACACUCUCAGCCUUCAGAGUCUCAAGCUCCAGAGCCCGAAGCCUCAGCUGAUCCACCUACUGGAGAGGCAGAUCCUUCUGCCUAGCACUAUCACCCCACUUAUCAGACAUUAUAUAUAUUUGCUGUUUAUGUUUUUAUGCAUGUUUGUUUUGUUUUAGUUGAAAUGAAAUCCCAGUAUUUUGGUAUAUAUAUGGGAUUCCUUGUGUUACUUGUCUUUAGCAUUGUAAUCAAAUGAACUCAAAGUAAUACAAGUUGAAUAUUUCUUGUUAAAAAUUAGCAUUAAGUUCUCCUUAUUUCCUUUUCUCACAUAUUCUAUUCUUUUUGAAACAUAUGGUUUUCCCCAAUCAAUAUUCGAAUUUGAUAGCAGCAUGGAGGUACCACUUCCUCCUUUUUAUUACAGUCACUCAAAUCACAUUGAGGACAAUGCUCAGUUCGGUUGGGGGGUAUGAGGAAGGAAGUAUUCUAAACCUUUUUGGUAUUGCAAUUAUAUUGGUUAAUUAGUUGUAGUUUUUACUUUUUACUCUAGUGUUACUCUAUUCUCCAUGAAUUUUGAGGAAAAAUUUUCAAAUUAAACCAAGAGAAAUUGAAAUGUUGUUUUUCACUUGACUUAGAGUAUGGAUUAUGCUUACUAAAGUAGUUCAAUUGUUGAAACUUCUACUGAAAUUGAAUUGAGUUCUUCUACUUUAAGCUAUCCACACACUGUGCACAUUAGUUUCCGAUUAUAACAUGAAAAGCUAUUUCCCUCUUGACUUAGUAUAAUUUUGAAACUUGGUAUAUUUGACCUCAUUUGAUAAAAAUUGAAACACCCUGCAAAAGGCCAAUGAGCCUUUGAAAUAAAGAAAGUUGUUUGCUUGCCUUGAAACCCGAGCAAGGUCUGAGGGGUAUAUGGUGAAAGCCUUUAAAGCCUGGUGCCCUAAGCCUUAAUUGGUUGGGAGUCACCGACCUCAAUGCUCGUUACAAGGGUGAAUAGGUAGAGUUAGCAUAUGGUAGAUGCUUGGGUAUUAGAAAAUUCAUUCUUAAAAGUCCGGGGAAAAAUCCGAGGAGUUAGUGGUUGAAAGAUCCUUAAACUUGGUGCCCUAAACCUUAUUGGGUUGGGAGUCAUCGAUGGACCCCCAUUACAUNNNNNNNNNNNNNNNNNNNNNNNNNNNNNNNNNNNNNNNNNNNNNNNNNNNNNNNNNNNNNNNNNNNNNNNNNNNNNNNNNNNNNNNNNNNNNNNNNNNNGAAACCCUUUAAACCCUGGGGCCCUAAGCCUUUUUUGGUGGGGAGUCCCCGACCCCAAUGCUCUUUACAAGGGGGAAUAGGAAGAGUUAGCAUUUGGUAGAGGUUUGGGUAUUAGAAAAUUCUUUUUUAAAAGUCCGGGGAAAAAUCCGGGGGGUUGGUGGUUGAAAAAUCCUUAAAAAUUGGGGCCCUAAACCUUAAUUGGUUGGGGGUCUUCGGGGGGCCCCCCUUACAUGGGCAAGUUAGAAAGGGUACCCCAUAAAGGUGCCUUUAAAAAAAAAAAAAAAAAAAAAAAAAAAAAAAAAAAAAAAAAAAAAAAAAAAAAGAUGAAAGUGUGUUCUUUUCUUAUUGAUUUUGGUCAGGUUGCUAAAGUGUUGAAAAGAGUUAGGUUGGGGGGUGAGAUUAGUAGCAUAUUAUUCUCGGAACCUAAGGAACCAAUACACAUAGAUUUUUGUGGAAGAUUGAAGUUUAGUUCUUAGAAAGUAGAAAUGAUUUUAAAACUUCAGUUUGCAUAAUGCACUCCCUUGAUUGACAGUGUUUAGCAUAAGUGUUAUGACUCUUGUUGAGAUUUGGGUUUGUAUUUCUUUAAUGAUUCAUGUGAGAAAUAGAUCAUCAUGCCACUUAAGAAUUAUUUUCCUUUUAGCAUGAUGUUGUAAAUUUUAGAUUAGUUUGCUAUUUAUUUUUUAUUUUCUCUCCUAUAUUGCUAAGGGACUAGCAAUAUGUCGGUUGGGGGGAGUGAUUACUACUCAAAAAGUGCUAUUUGAUAGCCUUUAAUUAAUCCUUUUUAACACUUUUGAGUAGUAGUUUAGGCCUUUUAACUCAAUUGACAUGUUAAGGAUCCUUUAAAGCAAUUUUGAUCACUUUGUGCAAGUUUUGGUGUUUUUGUUAGUAUUGUGAUCACCAAAGCAAGUCAAGAAUGAGGAGAGAUAUGAGGAAUCUUGGGCAAAUCUUAGAAUUCAAUUGCCAAGAGUGAAUCCGGAUUGCAAGGAGAAAAAGCAAAGAGAAUCUGUCAUGGAGCAUAUUCUUGAUGACAGUCGUAGCAGCCACUUUUGGGGCACUUCCUGAAGUCCAAAUGAUGCAAGCUAUAUACCAUUUCAAAGCUCAGGAAGUCAAAAAUCCAAUGCUUCAAACGGUGCGCGAUUUGGAGUUGAAACGAAGAAGUUGCAGCCAUUACAAGCCAGUCACUCUGAAGUGUUGCGGAAUCAGCCUUUUGUUGCGAGAAUUUCGCAACACUUUUGUACAGUAAGGUGUUUCUCCUUCUGACGAUGCACGAACCAUGCCGCGAGAAGGGAGCUGGAAACUUCAAGGUGGAAGCCAACUUCGCAGCCCUAUGAAGACAGCUUGGUCUUGCGAAAUAAUUUCGCAGCCCUCUUGGGUGUCUGCGAAAUUUCGCAGGCACCACUUUUCUCCUGCGAAAUGGCUCCUGAAGCCUCCCGAAGCUUGCUACCGACAUUGGGAGAUAUUUUCCAUUAGAUUUUUGUUGUCUAAAUCCCAAAAUACUCCUUGUAAACCACCAAUUACAUGAUUCCUUAGUUUUUAAGUUAGUAAAAAGACCAAAUAUCUAUGUAACAAUUAGUUUUAUAUUGGUUUGAUAUAAAUACCUCUCGGGAGCCUGUUCUCGGGGAGGAGUUCUUUCGGUAACCAUUUGGUAAGCAAGUAAAGUCUUUUCUUUCUACUGCCUUACAUUCUCACUUUGUAUUUUCAUUUUAUUUCUAAGUUAUGAAUUCUCUGAGGAGUUUUCCCCAGAGAAUGAGUAACUAAACCUCCAAUUCCUUGGAGCUAAGGUUGCCGGGGAAGGUUCCAAGUGCAAGAAUGCAAAGCUCUGUGGUUUUAGCUAGUAAUGAAGAGGAAGUGAAAUCCUUUAGUGAUUUCAAUGUUUUUAGUUAACUUAAAACACCUUGGAGUCACCUAGGCCAACACUUGGUAAGGCAAGUGAUUUCCAACCGUGGAAAUGCACUAGUUUACCCCUUGCGAGCCUCUGGUAGGUGACUUCAAGGUAGGAUUUUCUGGAAUUACCAACACUUGGUAAGCUUUUGGACUCUUAGGAGGCAUCCAUUAGUUAUCUCUUGCGAGUUUGUGAAGGGAAGUCCAAGGUUAAAGAUCACCUUGAAUGGUAAGUGCUCGUGAGAGGCAUGAACCAUUGCAAGUUGCAUCAGUGAGAGAAUUAAAGUGAAAUCUAAUUGAAGGAGUCUCUGUACAUCACCGGUUAGAGACUUGACUCUAAGUUGAAUCUCUAAUGCGAGGAAAUGAACCAUCUGACCGGAGCUAUGUCUUUUGCAUGAGGAACCACCCCAGUGAACCUAAAUCUCCAAGGAAUGCUUUUCUUCCUAAAUUAUUCCAAACUUCUGUUAAGUUAGUUAGUUUAAAUCUCAACCUUUACCAAUCAAAGUUUGUAUUUUAUUUCUUAAACUAACCGUGAAAUGAAACAAAACCAAUUCACUUGGAAUUGGUAUCCUUGAUUGCUUGCAAAUCAUUCCCAGUGAACGAUCCUUAGAGCCACUAUACUAUAGUAGCUUUGUAUUUGCUACCCUAGUGUAUGGUGUUAUAGGUAUAAAUUUUGUUGAUCACUUCCUCAAUCAAGGAGCACCAGCUGAACACAAAUCAGCUGAGACACCAAUUGGGCAUGAGUCAAUGUUGACUAGGCUUCAGAUAUAGAUGAUUGCCACUCUACCUUUGGCUAUUGCUUUUUUCUUGGUCUAAAUCUCAUUUCAUGGCAUUCUCGCAAGUAACGUACCAUCUUUAAGUCAUCUAUUGAAGCUGAAUAUCAUAGUGUUGCUACAUUGGUGGCCAAAAUUUCAUGGCUCCAAUAUCUUUUUACAGAACUCCAGAUCACUCCUUCCACCACCCUGAUAAUAUGUGCGACAACUUAAGUAUAGUUCACCUUACAAAAAACCUAAUGCUUUAUCCCUGCCUUAAGCAUUAAGAUUGAUCUUUACUUUGUUCAGGAAAAGGUUUUUUAGAAGCAAAUCCAUAUCUACCAUGUUCUCUUAUCAGCCCAACUUGCAGACCUAUUCCAUAAAGUUGUUCCUAACUCUUUAUUCCUUAGUAUGCCAAAAAAACUCAGUGUCACUUAAGGCUCCCAUUGAGUUUAAAGGAGAUUGUUAGGGAAGAUUAGUUUAGUUGCGCUUUAUAGUUGUUACAUCUGUUGAUUAGUUAGGAUGUAGCUUGGUUAGUUCUCUAUUUGUUACAACAAACUCUUCAAAUAGUUACAGACUACUUACUACUCAAAGAACCAUGCUUGUUUUGUAGAAUGAAGACAAAUAAAAAAUCCAGAAGGGACAGAUAAUCUUUUUGUUCCAAUUUUGCUAUAUAUAUAUUUAUUUAUUUCAAACAAAGAUUAAUAUGCAUAGAAUGGUUAAUUGAUGUUGUUAGGUAUCUCACAGUUAGAGAGAUUGUUAGAAAGUUAGAAAAGUUAUUAAAAUCUUUGUUAAAUAAUUAGUUAAAUGGUUUGUGUAACUUCGAUAUAAAAACAAUACGAUUAAAACUUAAAAAUGAAUAAGUAAAAAACAAAUUUUUAAGUCAUCUCCAAGGUAAAAAAUUUAUUGAUAAUUUUGUUGCUAAUUUUGCAGCAAUUGGAGAACUUGUAGCAAAAAUAAAAUAAAAUCUUGCAACUUCUUGGAGCAGAUUAUAACUUUAUAGUUGCUUCCUUUAUAGUUUGUGAAAAUGAUAUUUCUUUUCAUUUAGCCCACAACAUACUUCUUACUCAUGAACAACGUUUGUGCAUUCAAAACUCUAUAACAAAAUGAGAUAAUAUCUAUGCUAAUAUGGUUGCCACACAAAGGCGAAACUUCAACAACAUAAAAAACCAUAACAAUAAAGGAAAUAAUCAUUUUAACAAUAGAAAUAAUUUUGGAAAAAAUCAAUCUAGUGUUUGUGGUUAAGGCAAUUGAAGCAUAGUGACAACACCAUGGGAAAUUUGGGCACAUUGUCCUUAGUUGCUAUCAUCAUUUUGAAAUAAACUUUCAAUUACACUACUUCAACUAUCACCAAUAACAUUGCUUCAACAAAUAGCACUAAUAGUAAUUAGAUGCGAGCUAUAGUUACUUCUUUAUCUACUGUAAAUGAUGAAUUUAGGUUCCUUGAUACUGGUACAACAUUAUCUGUCUCAAAGUACUAGUAUACUCUUAAGUGUUCAAUCAUACUGGGAAAAUGACAAAGAGAUAAUUGGUAAUGGUAAGAAACUUUCCACCUUUAUGUUGGUACUAGGUUAUUUGGUUAUUCUCUUAAAACCUUUCAAUUAAAGAAAGUUUUUCAUGGUUCUUUUGUUGCUUCUAAUCUCAUUAGUAUCUCUAAAUUUUGCAUUGACAAUAAUCGAUUUCUUGAAUUCCAUCCCCAAUUCUUUCUUGUUAAGGAUCAUGUUAUGAGGAAAGCUCAUCUUAAAGGCCAACUUGAAAAUGGUUUGUACUAAUACUUUAAAACAUGACCAAUCAUUAAGCCGAAAAAGUUAUCAGUUCAUGGUUCAAUGGUCGGAUUAAUGGUUUAACGAUGGUUGAAUCAGUAACAUCAUAAAUAUAUAAUUUCUUAAAAUUAAAUAUAUAUAUAAUUUUUAAUAAUAUUUUAUUUUUAUAUUUGAUAUGUCAAAUUAAAUGAUAAAAAAUAAAUAUAAAUGCAUUAAUAGAUUAUAUUUUAUUAAAUAGAAAUGUACAAUAUUUAAGAUGAAAAGAAAAUUAUAAUAUUUAAUUUUAUCUACAUAUUUGUGUAUUUUUUUUAUAUUUUAAAUGUUUAAAAACUAUUAUAUUAAUUAAUUUAUAUUAUUUUCAUAUUUAUCAUUAAUAAUUAUUAUCAGUAAAUGUAUAAAUAAAUAUUUAUAUGAAAAAAAUUGAAAUAAAAAAUAUAUAAAUAUUUUUUUAUAACAUUUAUCAAAUUGAUUGUGUAGCACAAUGGUCAUGUGUUCAUUUUGCCAACCAUCAGUACAUAGUUCUAAUCAUCACCAUGCAAUUCUUUUCUAUUAUAACCAAAAUUUAUCCCACAUCAAAAUAUCACAAACCAUAUAUGUGAUAUAAAUACCUUGCCCAUUCAAUGAACAGGUAAGUGUCAUAGUGGUUUGGACUUUUGCCCAUUUAAUGUAAUGUACAUGCAAAUAGUGGGUAACUGUUUUGUACAAGUUCCCCACAAGAUCUAUUUAGACAACUGUACCUUUAGCUUUCUUCAUUUCUAAUCUUGAUGUGUUUCAUACUAGGAAAUUAAAUAAUAUGGUUGGACUUUGUCCUAAAAAUAUUGUUUUUUGUGCUUGCCAAUAUGUAAAAACCCAUAGAUUACCAUUUUCAUUAUUUGAAUGUAGAGCUACUCAUUUUUUUGCUUUAGUUCAUACUGACUUGUGGGGUCUUACCCCUAUUGUUUCCACAAAUGGUGCAAGAUAUUUUUACUAUUCAUUAAUGAUUUUUCUUGAUUUUCUUGGCUUUAUCCUUUACAUGCUAAAGAUCAGACUUUGGCUACCUUCAUUAAAUUCAAACCUUUAAUAAAAAAUCAAUUAAAUACUCAUAUACAUUGUUUACAAUAUGAUAAUGGAGGUGAAUUCAAAGCAUUUAUAGCAUUUCUUGCUUUAUAUGAGAUUGAAAAUUGUUGUUUUUACCCUAAAAUACCUAAACAAAAUGGUAGGGAUGCACGUAAGAUGAGACACAUAAUAGAAACUAGUUUACCACUCUGAGCUACUAUUUCUUUACCAUUGAAAUUUUAGCUUUAUGCAUUUCACACUACCAUAGUUCUUAUUAAUUGCAUGCUUACCAUAGUACUCCAACUUCAGUCACCAUUUCUGAAUUAUCAUCAUUUAAAAAAUUUUAGAUGUCUUUGCUAUCCCUAUGUUUGUCCAUAUUAUAAAUGUAGACUCUUAUAUCAUUUGGUCCAAUGUGUCUUCCUUGGCCAUAACACAUUUCACAAAGGUUACUUGUGCUUAGAUCACAACUCUAGUUGAGUUAUGGGCAUAUUUGGGUGCAAUAUAUUCUAUCUUAUCUUUUACUUAACUAGAAUAUGAUAUAUGUUAUAUAUCCUAUCAUAUAUGUGAUGCAAAUACCUUGCCCAUUUAAUGAACAAGCAAGCGACGUGGUGGGUUCGAUCCUUGCCCAUUUAAUGUGCAUGCAAGUAGUGUAUAACUGGUUUGUACAAAUUCCCCACAAGAUUUGUUCAAACAACUUCACCCUUAGCUCUCUUCAUUUCUAAUCUUAAUGUGCUUCCUACUAGGAAUUUAAAUAAUGUGGUUCAACUUUAUCCUAAAAAUAUUGUUUUUUUGUGUUUUCUAAUAUGCAAAAAACCAUAGAUUACCAUUUUCAUUAUCUAAGUGUAAAGCCAUUCACUCCAUUGCUUUAGUUCAUAUUGACUUGUGGGGUCUUACCCCUAUUGUUUUCACAAUUGGUGCAAUAUAUUUUUUACUAUUCAUUAAUGAUUUUUCAGAGUUUUUUGGCUUUAUCCUUUACAUACUAAAGAUCAGGCUUUAGCUACCUUCAUUAAGUUCAAAACAUUAGUCGCAAAUCAAUUUAAUUCUCAUAUACAUUAUUUACUAUCUUAAAACGAAGGUGAAUUCAAAGCAUUUGCAACAUUUCUUGCUUUAUAUGAGAUUGAAAAUCAUUGUUCUUACCCUAAAAUAUCUGAACAAAAUGAGACACAUAGUAGAAGCUAGUUUUCCACUUUGAGCUAUUGCUUCUUUACCAUUGAAAUUUUGGCUUUAUACAUUUUGCAUUAUUAGUUGUUAUUAAUCACAUGCUUACCAUAGUACUCCAACUUUAGUCACUCUUUCAAGUUCUCUUUAGAAAACAACUAGAUUAUCAUCAUUUCAAAAAUUUGAGUUGUCUCUACUAUCCCUAUAUUUUUCCAUAUAAUAAAUGUAAUUUCCUAUAUCAUCCAGUUCAAUGUGUCUUCCUUGGCUAUAACACAUUUCACAAAGGUUACUUGUGCUUAGAUCAUAAUUGUAGCUGAGUUAUGGGCACAUUUGGGUGCAAUAUAUUCUAUCCUACCUUUUACUGAAGUAGAAUAGGAUAUGUGUGAUAUAAAUACCUUGUCUUUAUAAUGAACAAACAAGUGGCAUAGUGGUGUGGACCCUUUCCCAUUUAAUGUAAUGUACAUGCCAAUAGUGGAAAACUAUUUUGUACAAGUUCCCCACAAGAUUUAUUCAAACAAUUGCACCCUUAGCCCUCUUCACUUCUAAUCCUGAUAUAUUUCCUACUAGGAAUUUAAAUAAUAUGGUUGGACUUUGUCCUAAAAAUAUUGUUUUUUGUGCUUGCCAAUAUGUAAAAAACCAUAGAUUACCAUUUUCAUUAUCUGAAUGUAGAACUGCUCACUCUUUUGCUUUAGUUCAUACUGACUUGUGGGGUUUUAUUGUUUCCACAAUUGGUGCAAGUUAUUUUUUACUGUUCAUUAAUGAUUUUUCUUAGUUUUCUUGCCUUUAUCCUUUACAUACUAAAGAUCAGACUUUGGCUACCUUCAUUAAGUUCAAAACUUUAAUAAAAAAUCAAUUCAAUUCUCAUAUACAUUGUUUACAAUAUGAUAAUGAAGGUGAAUUCAAAGCAUUUGUAGCAUUUCUUGUUUUAUUUGAGAUUGAAAAUUGUUGUUCUUACCUUAAAAUAUCUAAACAAAAUGACAGGGCUGAACGUAAGAUGAGACACAUAGUAGAAACUAGUUUUACACUUUGGGCUACUGUUUCUUUACCAUUGAAAUUUUGGCUUUAUACAUUUUGCAUUAUUAGUUGUUAUUAAUCACAUGCUUACCAUAGUACUCCAACUUUAGUCACUCUUUCAAGUUCUCUUUAGAAAACAACUAGAUUAUCAUCAUUUCAAAAAUUUGAGUUGUCUCUACUAUCCCUAUAUUAUUCCAUAUAAUAAAUGUAAUUUCCUAUAUCAUCCAUUCCAAUGUGUCUUCCUUGGCUAUAACACAUUUCACAAAGGUUACUUGUGCUUAGAUCAUAAUUGUUGUUGAGUUAUGGGCACAUUUGGGUGCAAGAUAUUCUAUCCUACCUUUUACUGAACUAGAAUAGGAUAUGUGUGAUAUAAAUACCUUGUCUUUUUAAUGAACAAACAAGUGGCAUAGUGGUUUGGACCCUUUCCCAUUUAAUGUAAUGUACAUGCAAAUAGUGGACAACUAUUUUGUGCAAGUUCCCCACAAGAUUUAUUCAAACAAUUGCACCCUUAGCCCUCUUCACUUCUAAUCCUGAUGUAUUUCCUACUAGGAAUUUAAAUAAUAUGGUUGGACUUUGUCCUAAAAAUAUUGUUUUUUUGUGCUUGCCAAUAUGUAAAAAACCAUAGAUUACCAUUUUCAUUAUCUGAAUGUAGAACUACUCACUCUUUUGCUUUAGUUCAUACUGACUUGUGGGGUCUUAUUGUUCCCUCAAUUGGUGCAAGAUAUUUUUUAUUGUUCAUUAAUGAUUUUUCUUAGUUUUCUUGGCUUUAUCCUUUACAUACUAAAGAUCAGACUUUGGCUAUCUUCAUUAAGUUCAAAACUUUAAUAAAAAAUCAAUUCAAUUCUCAUAUACAUUGUUUACAAUAUGAUAAUGGAGGUGAAUUCAAAGCAUUUGUAGCAUUUCUUGUUUUAUGUGAGAUUGAAAAUUGUUGUUCUUACCUUAAAAUAUCUAAACAAAAUGACAGGGCUGAACGUAAGAUGAGACACAUAGUAGAAACUAGUUUUACACUUUGGGCUACUGUUUCUUUACCAUUGAAAUUUUGGCUUUAUACAUUUUGCAUUAUUAGUUGUUAUUAAUCACAUGCUUACCAUAGUACUCCAACUUUAGUCACUCUUUCAAGUUCUCUUUAGAAAACAACUAGAUUAUCAUCAUUUCAAAAUUUUGAGUUGUCACUACUAUCCCUAUAUUUUUCCAUAUAAUAAAUGUAAUUUCCUAUAUCGUCCAAUCCAAUGUGUCUUCCUUGGCUAUAACACAUUUCACAAAGGUUACUUGUGUUUAGAUCAUAAUUGUAGCUGAGUUAUGGGCACAUUUGGGUGCAAUAUAUUCUAUCCUACCUUUUAUUGAACUAGAAUAGGAUAUGUGUGAUAUAAAUACCUUGUCCUUCUAAUGAACAAACAAGUGGGAUAGUGGUUUGGACCCUUUCCCAUUUAAUGUAAUGUACAUGCAAAUAGUGGACAACUAUUUUGUACAAGUUCCCCACAAGAUUUAUUCAAACAAUUGCACCCUUAGCCCUCUUCACUUCUAAUUCUGAUGUAUUUCCUACUAGGAAUUUAAAUAAUAUGGUUGGACUUUGUCCUAAAAAUAUUAUUUUUUGUGUUUGCCAAUAUGUAAAAAACCAUAUAUUACCAUUUUCAUUAUCUGAAUGUAGAACUACUCACUCUUUUGCUUUAGUUCAUUCUGACUUGUGGGGUCUUAUUGUUUCCACAAUUGGUGCAAGUUAUUUUUUACUAUUCAUUAAUGAUUUUUCUUAGUUUUCUUGACUUUAUCCUUUACAUACUAAAGAUCAAACUUUGGCUAUCUUCAUUAAGUUCAAAACUUCAAUAAAAAAUCAAUUCAAUUCUCAUAUACAUUGUUUACAAUAUGAUAAUGGAGGUGAAUUCAAAGCAUUUGUAGCAUUUCUUGUUUUAUGUGAGAUUGAAAAUUGUUGUUCUUACCUUAAAAUAUCCAAACAAAAUGACAGGGCUGAAUGUAAGAUGAGACACAUAGUAGAAACUAGUUUUACACUUUGGGCUAUUGCUUCUUUACCAUUGAAAUUUUGGCUUUAUGCAUUUCACAUUUCCAUAGUUCUUAUUAAUCGCAUGCUUACCAUAGUACUCCAACUUUAGUCACCCCUUCAAGUUUUCUUUAGAAAACAACUAAAUUAUCACCAAUUAAAAAAUUUUAGAUGUCUCAGCUAUCCUUAUAUUCAUCCAUAUAAUAAAUGUAAACUCCUAACAUACACAUUUCAAAAAUCGCCAAUAUCUCUCGAUAUGUCAACUAUAUCAAAUGGUCAACGCGGGUCAAUAGGUGGUCAAAUGCGCUACAGUACCCCUUAAAAAUGCCUUGCAAUUUUAUUGUUAAGGGGACUCGAACCCCAAACAAAAGACUUAACUUUUAGCUCAACUUACCACUAGGACAAGUUUGCCCCUUGUUAAAUAUAUUGCACCAAACAUAUAUAUUCAAAGUCAUCAUAUAAAAAAAUUAUUAAAAGAAUAUUUUAGAGAACAAAUUAAUUAUAAUUAUUUUAUAAUUAAAUGCAAAAAAAUAUUUUAAUUGAUUACCAAAAAUAUAAAAAUUAUCAUGAUAAUUUUCUUCAUAGUGUUUUUAAUAUCAUUAAUAGAUUAAUUAAAUAUUAAAAAAUUGUACAUAUAUCACAAUUUAUUUUAUAUCAUUUAAUACAAUUGAAUUAAAUGGAUCAUAAUUUUAAUAUUAAAUUUAUUUUAAAAUUAAACAUAUUAUAAUCAAAUAUCACAAUAUUAUUAUGAAAUAAUAUUUAAUGUAAUUUAAUAAUAAAUGUACACUUAUAAAAUUCAUAUUUUUUAUUGAUGCAUACGAUAUUAUAAUCAAAUAUAAUGAAUCAUAUUAUACAUAUAUCAAAUUCUUUAAUAAAACAACUUUAAAAUAUCUAUUAUACUUCUAAUUACAUUUUUAUGAGGUUUUUCUUAUAUAUAUAUAUAUAUAUAUAUAUAUUAGGUUGUUUUUAUGGUUAGUUUGACCCAAGGUUUUUUACAUCUACCAAAUUUCUAAGAGACUUUAUAAGUGGUCUUCGCACAUAUAAUUGCUUGUUGUUGAUUGCUUUCUGUUAUCUCUUGUUGAUUCAAGAGAUAAAAAUUAAAAAUUGGGAAACUAAUUGCUUGAUUACCUAUUCCCCCUCCCUCAAGUAGUUUCGUAAUCAAGAUCAGACUUAUUUAAGUAUAAUAUAUAAACUAGCAUACAACUCUAUGCCUAAAAGUCAUUUAAUUGAAUUACCAUUGAUGCACUUGAUAUAAAUGUUACUAAUAGAACCCUCUAGGAAGACAAAUAAAGGUCAUUAAUUAGUGUAUAUAUAUAUAUAUAUAUAUAUAUAUAUAUAUAUAUAUAAUGUUAUAACCUUGGUUCCAUCUUAAGUUUGGAUCCAAUCUAUGCUUUCAAAUGUGUUAUCAAAAGCAAGUAAUUUGAUGUGAGUUGUUUUGAAGCUCUGAAUGGGCCUCAUCAUUUUCUAGUGAGUACAUUCCUACUUUCUUUUCGGCCCUCAUUGCAUGCCCUUGGACUUUCCUUUCUUUCUUAUCCAUAAGCCCAUUCAGUAAUUGGAUUUCUUGCCCAAGUGCAUUUUCAAAGGAUGCUUUGUGUUUACAUUAUUACGGAGUAUGACAAAUUUAGGUUAGUGUAAACCAUGCUUGGAAGAGUUUUGCAAAAGCAAGUUUGAAGCUCAAAUAUAAUUUAUUUAUUUAUUUAUUUUAAGGAUGUUUGAGAGAAUUUUCAAAUAUAAUUAUCAUAUUUCUUAACAUGAUUAAUAUGUGUUUUGGAAAAAUAGAGAGACAUGAGCAUUUGAGGAUAUAAAAGCAUAUAUUAUACUAGAUUAAUUUUUUAUACAAAUAUUAAUUAUAUCUUUGUUUUCUUAAUAAAAGUUUUUGUUAAAUAUGGUUUUCAAACAUAAAAAUCAAAGCUAUUGCAAAUAAAACUUAUAUAAAUAUAUUUCAAGUUUGGCACUCUCAAAGUAGAGUCCUAAGAAAUGGUGAGUUGGGUAAGGUCCUUUAUUGUCAUAAAAUUGUCUCCCUCAUGACUUGAACUUUGGCAGCUAAAGACAUUUACCAAAAUAUGACAAAAUUAAAUCUGAGGAACAAACUUGGAUCAACUCGAUCCCAUCCAAAUUUUUACCAAUUUUGGGGGGAAAAAAGUACCACAUUAGUGCCCUUAAUUUCAUUACAAUUUUGAACAAAGUAUGCUUUUUUAAUAUGUGCUUUUGAUGAUGAAAAGUGAAAAUAUAAAUACCUAAAUUUAAAGAUUAUAAAACCACUAGAUAUGACAAGUCUAAAAAUUCUAGGGAAUGUUUCAUUUAUAAAUUAUCUCUUCUUCUAGAUGUUCUUUUCUUCUUCUCCUACUGUUUUUGGCUAUCUUCUUUUAUGUGCUCUGGAAUAAGAUUACUCAAGUGUCCAUGGCCAGAAUGGAAGCUGUUACACCUCCACAUCAGCAAAGCUAGCUAUAUGACUUGCACGUACAUGAUCAUAUAUACAGUUCUCCCUAUUGAUCAUGUACUUGGCUACUUGUUCAUCUCACCCUCUUUGAGGUGUUGGCGAGAGCUAUUGGCCUCAGAUGAGGAGGUACUAUCCUUUCCAUACACAAAAAAUGGAAAAGAAGAAGACAAUGGAAACUGUGAGAAGAUAAGGAACAAAGCUACCUUAGAAAAUAUCUUGUUAGGUAUAUAGCUGAAAAAUACUAAUUUUUGAAACCCCUUGUAUCUCUCCGUGAGUUAGUUGUUACCAUUUGUGCAGUAUUCUCAACAUUACUGGCCUAACAAUUCAACCAUUAUUUCACCCAUUCAGUAAAUAUUCAUACUCCAGAAUCAUGCAAAGACUAUUUGUGAUGUUGCGGAUUUGACAUCUGCCCGAUUUAAUUUAACACAUACCUGAAGGUUUGCUCCCUCCAUACUUGGUGCCAAACUUGAGCACUUUAUUGCUUACAUACCACACAUGGCAAACAUCUAACCGUAGGAUGAUGAGUCUGAAAUUCUUGAAGCAAAGGAAAAAAGAAAGAAAAGAGAGUUACAGAGGAGUUUUAGUAUUACAUUGGUUGGAUCUUCAUCAGAAAUGUUUGCAGACCAAAAAAGCUAGAUGUUGUCACUGCUGAAUGAUACUUUGUAUAGGGAAGUUUGCCCAAGCACAUCAGUUUGAUGUUCCUAUUAUGCUUCUACAGUACCAACAAGAAAAAUGUUUUAGGGUUUAAUAGAGUCUGAGGGUUUUUUCCUUUUUAGCAAAAGAAAAGAGGAUUAGGAAUCAAGCAAUUCUGAUUAAAAUAGAUGAAAAAAGGCUUUGAUACUUAAUUAAGAGUUGUUUAACUCUGGACCUCUUCUUCUGUGCUUCCUUUUUUGGUUCCUUAAUUAACAAUAAAUUAUACUUACCAACCAAAAGAUGGAUAUGAUAUCAGACCUUAUGAUAUCAGUGGUUAGCUUAAGCUUUAAUCACCUUUUAAGUACAUGGUUAAAGAACUCCUCCAUUAUAACAACCAACAUGAUUAGAUAUGUGGGCCUCUAGCCUUUGAUAAAAUACAAAGUGAUCUUUCCAUACAGAUUAGACUGCAUUGUUUUUGACUUAUGCUACGGAAUUUUUGCUAAAGUGAAAUUAACGCCAAGGAUCAGCACAUACCUAUAAGUUGAUGCUGUACAAUCCAAGAACAGGUCAUUGAUGAGCAUCACUAGAUACACUUUCUCAGUUCAUGUCAAAACUAAUUUCCACCAUUUUUGUUAAUUUCAAGAGCCCCAUCAGUCGAUAUGAGCCACAGGAAAGUACAUCUUGAUAAAAUCAUGUCUUAUGCUAAGUUAAUUAUUAGGGCAAUUAAGCUCAAAUACUGAAACUAGGAAUAGAUUCAAACAGUGCAAAAAAUUACAAUUUUCAAAAGACACAUAUAUAAGGCUAAUUAAUUGAUCAAACAAGGAGUAAUUAAACAAAAGAAGAUUCUAAUCUUUUAGGGUUUUGGGUGCUUGCUAUGCAGAUACUAUUGUAUCACUUGGUUGAAAUGGUGCAACUUCAUAAACCUGAAGAUGGUAAAGUUUUUUAUCUGGUGUUGUCCAUUUAGAUUCCUUCUCUCUUUGGUUAACGUUUCUUUCCAUUUAGAAGUAAAAACUCAUGCUCCAAAGAUGGUAUAAAGCCUCAUGACUCAAGCAAUAUCCUACUCAAUUGAACAGAGAAAUAAUACUAGCUAACCAUAGUAAUAACAUGGCAUAUGAGAGUAGAAAAAAAGGAGUCUUGUCUCUUCAAAACAACGCAACAGUACACUCAUAUUUUUUUCCAUCAAUAUAUAUGGUUAUCAAAGAGGAAGUUCAGUCGAGUGCAUCAUCAACCAUGAAAGAAAAUAACACAACAAUCUCAAAACCCAACAAAGGAAAAGCAGGAGACAAUUCAUUACAGGAAACACCAGAUGUAGAUAUGAAAUGAUUAUUAAAAUUCUAUUUCCCAUUUGAGGUAGGGGAAGAACACUCGCACACUAACUCGGUUUCCACUUCCCGGAGGUGGAAGUUCCGGUGGCAGCCGCAGGCGGCGCAGGUGAGUGCACUGCUGGUUCCCUCUUCACCGCUCGCCAUGAACUCUCUGCACCCAUCAACAGCAUACCCUCCAACACCCGCAGCGUGAUUCUUCUGACACUCUCCAUACCUCACACUCCUCACUGUGAAAGAUGAAUUAGCUGAGCUUCUUGAUGGCUCAUCUCUCCUAAGCACAACUUGACGCUUCCUCAUCCUACAAGACCCCAAAUCUACUCUACCUUCUUCUCCACACCCACCAAGAAAACAGCUGCAAUUCUCCAAUUCUUCCAGAGAUCCAG
rnacentral:lncRNA from 1 species